UACGGAGGGUGCAAGCGUUAAUCGGAAUUACUGGGCGUAAAGCGCACGCAGGCGGUCAUUAAGUUAGAUGUGAAAUCCCCGGGCUUAACCCGGGAACGGCAUCUAAGACUGGUGGGCUAGAGUCUCGUAGAGGAGAGUAGAAUUCCACGUGUAGCGGUGAAAUGCGUAGAGAUGUGGAGGAAUACCGGUGGCGAAGGCGGCCCCCUGGACGAAGACUGACGCUCAGGUGCGAAAGCGUGGGGAGCAAACAGGAUUAGAUACCCUGGUAGUCCACGCCGUAAACGAUGUCGAUUUGGAGGUUGUGCCCUUGAGGUGUGGCUUCCGGAGCUAACGCGUUAAAUCGACCGCCUGGGGAGUACGGUCGCAAGAUUAAAACUCAAAUGAAUUGACGGGGGCCCGCACAAGCGGUGGAGCAUGUGGUUUAAUUCGAUGCAACGCGAAGAACCUUACCUACUCUUGACAUCCACGGAAUUCUGCAGAGAUGCGGAAGUGCCUUCGGGAACCGUGAGACAGGUGCUGCAUGGCUGUCGUCAGCUCGUGUUGUGAAAUGUUGGGUUAAGUCCCGCAACGAGCGCAACCCUUAUCCUUUGUUGCCAGCACGUUAUGGUGGGAACUCAAGGGAGACUGCCGGUGAUAAACCGGAGGAAGGUGGGGAUGACGUCAAGUCAUCAUGGCCCUGACGAGUAGGGCUACACACGUGCUACAAUGGCGGAUACAAAGAGAAGCGACCUCGCGAGAGCAAGCGGAACUCAUAAAGUCUGUCGUAGUCCGGAUUGGAGUCUGCAACUCGACUCCAUGAAGUCGGAAUCGCUAGUAAUCGUAGAUCAGCAUGCUACGGUGAAUACGUUCCCGGGCCUUGUACACACCGCCCGUCACACCAUGGGAGUGGGUGGCAAAAGAAGUCGGUAGCUUAACCUUCGGGAGGGCGCUGACCACUUUGUGAUUCAUGACUGGGG
rnacentral:rRNA from 1 species